GACGAACGCUGGCGGCGUGCCUAAUACAUGCAAGUCGAACGCAGUGGGGACGGGUGAGUAACACGUGGGUAACCUCCCAUCAGAGGGGAUAACACUUGGAAACAGGUGCUAAACCGAUACUGAUGGAUGGACCCGCGGUGCAUUAGCUAGUUGGUGAGGUAACGGCUCACCAAGGCCACGAUGCAUAGCCGACGUGGGGGGGUGAUGGGCAACCCUGGGACUAGACCACGCCCCAGACCCCUAGGGGAGGCAGAGGUAGGAAUUCUUCGGCAAUGGAGGAAAUUCUGACCGAGCAAGGCGGGGUGAUUGAAGAAGGUUUCCGGUUGUAAAAACUCUGUUGUUAGAGAAGCGGUAUCUAACCAGAAGCCACGGCUAACUACGUGCCAGCCGCCGCGGUAAUUC
rnacentral:rRNA from 1 species